AACUGAGACACGGUCCAGACUCCUACGGGAGGCAGCAGUAGGGAAUAUUGCUCAAUGGGGAAACCCUGAAAGCAGCAACGCCGCGUGGAGGAUGAAGGUUUUAGGAUUGUAAACUCCUUUUGUUAGAGAAGAUAAUGACGGUAUCUAACGAAUAAGCACCGGCUAACUCCGUGCCAGCAGCCGCGGUAAUACGGAGGGUGCAAGCGUUACUCGGAAUCACUGGGCGUAAAGAGCGCGUAGGCGGGAUAGUCAGUCAGGUGUGAAAUCCUAUGGCUUAACCAUAGAACUGCAUUUGAAACUACUAUUCUAGAGUGU
rnacentral:rRNA from 1 species